AAAGGAUUAGUUAACUAUAUAACAUCAGAAUGUCAAACUGAAGUAAUCGACAAAGAUAUCCUUUU
rnacentral:tRNA from 1 species